rnacentral:rRNA from 1 species
AAUUGAGGGGGGCUGCUCCUAGUACGAGAGGACCGGAGUGGACGCAUCACUGGUGUUCGGGUUGUCAUGCCAAUGGCACUGCCCGGUAGCUAAAUGCGGAAGAGAUAAGUGCUGAAAGCAUCUAAGCACGAAACUUGCCCCGAGAUGAGUUCUCCCUGACUCCUUGAGAGUCCUGAAGGAACGUUGAAGACGACGACGUUGAUAGGCCGGGUGUGUAAGCGCAGCGAUGCGUUGAGCUAACCGGUACUAAUGAACCGUGAGGCUUAACCUUACAACGCCGAAG